rnacentral:lncRNA from 1 species
AACACAACCUGCUGCGUAUGCAGGCAGCCCUUGGACCCUCAAGUCACCCCCCCAGGGACUUACAAAGCAGAGGGAAACCAACGCCUACAGGCUGACGCGAGUGCUUCCUGCGGUGCCUCGGAGAACAUCUUGGCACACACAUCCCUCCAAAUUUAUUUUCGUUUUCAAGCAUAUGCGAGCAGCCCCUGCAGCAGGCACGACAACUUCUAUCAACAUUUGGUUCUCAUCUUCCUCCAGACCCACUGAUGGACCAGGCGUCUCCAUCCCCAUAAAAUGAGGCAUCACUCCGUGACUUGCUUUGGCCAAAGAAACGUGGUGGGAAGCCAUGUGUGCACAUGUGAUCCCUGAUGCUCGUCUGUCCAGCUCUUCGCUUGGGUCCCACGGUGACAAUGGGAGUAAGUGUUGACAUAAAGGGGCUGAAGGGUUCAGGCAGCUUGGAAUGCUGAACCAUCACAGAGAGGAGCGAUGGGCUGCGCAGCCACUGGAGCCACAGCAGAGUUUGCACAAGCAGGAAAGAAAGUCCCGCCGCGUGGAGACACUGGGACCUGAAGCUGUGUCUCAUGCGCAUGAGCUGCGCCCGCCUGUCCUGACUGGUGGAGCCCUCUUCACUGAACCAGAGCCUGAGUUCACCCCGACCCUAAACAGGCGUCUGAAAUUAUACUGGCUUGAGAAAGCAGGAGUGUUUGAAAAUGUCCCAUUUGAAAAACUAACAACCCACCAUAAAAUAGGAAGCAAAACAAAACAAGAAUUUACACAAGCAAACCAUUUUUGUGAGAUUGCAUUCUUUUGUUGAUAUGUUUCAAUCACUUCCAGAUGCAUCAAUCCAUUGUAAUUCAGAAGGGUUUUUUUAUUCCCUUGCCGCGCAUCUGGGCAGAAUGGAAAACAAAUUUGCGUAAGUGGUGGAAAUACGUCAUCUACAACAGAAGAACUGACCCCUGGUGGAUUAAAAUUCUUCUUUGAGCAGCUUCAGUUCUUGAUCCUUUUCUUUUGCAUGAUGUUAGCUCCGCAUGUCCCUGUGCCACUGGAAAUUUCUUUGUAGUUAUGAUUUAUUUCCCAACCACCUUGAGAGUUCCUUCUGUGAGCAGCUUCUCGUAACUUGCGUCUAAAAUAGGAAUUCUUGGCUCACGGUCCAUGUAAUACUGGGGUGUGUGUAUCAGUGAAUCACACGCAAUUUAGGCAAAUUAUUCAUGUGCGUACUUUACAAUUUUUUCUGGGAAAAGGGUUUGUUACCUUUCAUCAGAUUCUUAAAGGUAUAGGUGACUCAGUAAAGGGUCCCUUUAAAGACAAAGUCAAUUUCCUCUGCUAGCCAGACUUUUGUCUCACAUUUCGUCAACCACAUCCUGUUCUUUUUCUUAUAAUUGCUUCUCCUUUUCUUUCCUCUUUCUUAGAACACUCGAACUGAAAGAAUGUCUUGAAGAGGGCGGGAUGAAUAAUUUUCACAAGUAGAUGGGAGGUAGUUGCUACUCAGUUCUCAAAGCUUGUGGCUGAUGACCCAGGUCAGCUGUCUGAGCGAGAUACAGUAUUUCACUCUGUGCCAUCACUGUGGAAAGUGCCCAGGGCUCCUUCUGUUCAGAACAACUGUGAUCAGUGACAGCAGAGCACUCCCUUUGGCCAAAGGAGGGGAGAAAUGGAAAGGAGCUGAGCCUUGAGGAGAGAGGAGAAAAAGUCCUUCCUCUGAAUAGCUGUGCUUCCUUUCACAGCUGACUGCCCCCUGUGGGUGGGUGUGGAGUUUUAGAUUUCUCUAUUAAAUCCUGAUGAGGAGCCAGAGAAAGCUUGUUUAACUAAUUACGAGCAAACCCUUCUGGAUACAAAGAGAGAAAAAUUCUGGCAGUCUAGUCAAUAUUAUUGUCUAAAUACGUGUGUGUAAGCCACCCGGGGUCUGCAGGGCACUGGAAAGCAGGAAGCAAGCCAGGCUUGAAAACAGCCGCUGGGGCUGAAGAUGCUCAGCUCACACACGGAUGCUUAGACGGAGCUGGUCCUGGAGGCAUCGCAGAUUUUUAAUGUAAAAAUAUGCUUCAGAACACAAACCAUAGGACAGUUUUGUAGGACAAAAGCCGCAUCUUCACUGAGAAUCAGACUGAAAACCUCUUUUAACAAGCGGUUCUUUAGGAAGCUGGAGAAGCAAGGACACCUAAGAUGGAUAUGAGCACAGUGAUCUGAAUGAAUGCUUCAUUUUUGCUUUUUAUUGUGGUCACUCAACUGGGGCCGAUCCUUUUGUAGUUAUCAUUUUUGUUACAUCUUACGUGGAUUCAUGUUCACUUUUGUUCUUAAAACAAGUCACUAGCUCGAUCUGUAAAAAUGCUGUAAUGCUUUUCCAGUUGCCGUCAGCUUUUUCGUUCACUUUAUCUUUUAUUCCACACUCCUGGAGAAAUAUGUCCGUGGGUCCAGUGAUGAAUUGGUCUCAUGUCUGUAGAGCUGUGCUGAAAAUACCAGUGAUCCGUGCGUGAGUCAGCAAACGGGAAAACCACUAUACCCUGCUGAAUUUGUCAGCAACACAGUGGAAAAACAAGUUCUCUCAAAUAGAUAAAAUAUGAAAUCAGAGAGGUGGUGUCGCCAACAGAAAAGACACUGAGUGAGAAGUUUGGAGACCUGUUUCUAAUAACAAGUCCUGUCAGGGCUUCCGUGUUCUCAUGAACAAGUCAGAAGUGAUUGCUGUCCUUUCCUGAGUCUUAAGUGGAAAUUUGUUGGGAGCUUCUGGAGAAGUUUUGCCUUUUUCUUAUAAAAGAGACAGAUACAGCUGGCGUGGAUUCCUCUCUUCUUUCUACCUUGAAUAUCCGUGUGAUGCCUGGAACUGAAGCAGCCAUUUUGUGGUCAUGAGACAACAAGCCAGCAUGCUAAGAAUGAUGGAAUGGAGAGAAAGCACUUGCCUGGGUCUUUGAUGACAUUGCUGAGCUGUGGGUGGCUUACCCUGAGACUUCUUGUUUAUUUAAGAUGUUUAUAGUUGAGUUUUCUGUUACUUCCAGCUAAAGCAUUCCAAAAUACCCCUGAUACACUGGCUAUGUUAUUACUGGAAUAUUUAACUAAAUUAACAUUAAUCAAAAGGGAAUCUCCAUGUAGUAAUCCACAGUUUCACUUUACUUUUCAAAACUAACUACAUGAUGAAGCAAAAGUUAAGAG